rnacentral:ncRNA from 1 species
UCUGGUACCAGAAACCGAGACUGGCAGAGGAAGGGAUAGCGAAAUCGUGGCUCUACGAACAGAAAUUUGAUAUGAAGGCGUAUAUAGCGGAUAAAGGGGAAGAAAACUCUAAAGUCCAAAUAGGUAGAUGUAAUCUAGAUGCGUAAAUCACGAGAGAAUUGAAUAUGGGCUAAGGUC